GACGAACGCUGGCGGCGCGCUUAACACAUGCAAGUCGAACGGAAAGGCCUGCUUUCCCUUGUGGCUUGCGGGUACUCGAGUGGCGAACGGGCGCGUAACACGUCAGUGAUCUGCCCCCAACUUGGGUAUAAGCCCGGGUAACUGGGCCUAAUUCCCGCUUGGACCGCAGGGUGGUGGCUGUGGUGGUAAACGUUCUUCUAGUGGUUGGGGUUGAGCUCGCGGUCUAUUAGCUUGUUGGUGGGGUAAUGGCCUACAAAGGCAGGGACGGAGAGCCGGCGUGGGAGGGUGGACGUGGGCAUGAGAACUGGGAUACGGCACCGAGGCAUACGGGAGGAAGCAGUGGGGAAUAAUGGACGAUGGGCGGAAGGCGGAUGGAGCGACGCCGCGUGGAGGAUGACGGCCUGCGGGUGGUAAUCUCCUUUCGACCGCGAGGAAGCCACCGGGUAGGAAGGGUAGUGACGGUAGUGGUAGAAGAAGCACCGGCUAACUACGUG
rnacentral:rRNA from 1 species